UUACUGUGACAACCACCACCUACACGUCCUUUUUCUUUCAAUGCCAUCCCUGCAACCUUUUCAUGCUACUACUACACUACAAAAGAAGAUUACAAAAGCAAUGUGAACGUGUAUAGUCUAAAUAUGUACUAAGUUAUUUUUCUGUCGCAUCAGAUUCCUCUGCAUGCCAGCUAAGUCACCUCUGUCACAUUUGCUCAAUUGCUAUAUCAUACUUUAGUUAGCUUCAUUACCUUUAUUAUAUGCUUAAACCAAGCUUAUAUGUAUCCCUAAUUGAUUCUCCUGAUUAGUCCAUUUAACUUUUAUUUUUACCUACCACCUCACCAUUCAAAGGAGACAUGCAUUUAAGAUUGCUAGAUCUGGAAACUCACAGCAAAUUUUUAUGCCAAGUCAACCCAACUAUCCUUGUUUCGU
rnacentral:lncRNA from 1 species